UACGUAGGCAGCAAGCGUUGUUCGGAGUUACUGGGCGUAAAGGGUGUGUAGGCGGUUGUUUAAGUUUGGUGUGAAAUCUCCCGGCUCAACCGGGAGGUGCGCCGAAUACUGAAUAACUAGAGUGCGGGAGAGGAAAGUGGAAUUCCUGGUGUAGCGGUGAAAUGCGUAGAUAUCAGGAGGAACACCGGUGGUGUAGACGGCUUUCUGGACCGUAACUGACGCUGAGACACGAAAGCGUGGGUAGCAAACAGG
rnacentral:rRNA from 1 species